UGCAGACAGAGAGACACCAGCUCAGAAGAACUCUGCACCACCUCAACUCACAAUAGACCUUUCUAAUAGGGACAAGUCUUUCUAACAUGGACAAGUCUUUCUCUGGACACUCCCUAGCUGGUGUUGACUGUGUCUCUAACCAUCCUGACCAAUGGGGUUGCUUUCCUCCAGGCUGUGCGAUCACUGUCCACAAUGUGCAGAUUCCUGCCAGGUGGCUGCAGGGUCCGGGGAGAGGUGCCUGUGUGAGUGUCACAGCUGGGAGUUCUGUCCUGACCGCUGCUGUGACCUGACCUGCCAGGUGUGUCUGGAUGGCUGCUUCACCUGCUGCUCAGCAGACUGUAGCUACACCUUCUUUACUCUCUGCCUCGGCCUCGGACAAAACUGCACCGCCGCCUUCAAAACAGACCGACAACAACCUGGGACCUCAGAGACCCAAUGUGAAUCGGUUACCAGACAGCCAGACGGACAGCCAGACAGACAUGGGCUGCUGCUUCAGCGGGUCUGAGGGGGAAGGAGAGGGGGACAUGAAGCACGGGGGGGACAGCGGCUGUAAGACGUGCUGUCUGAAGACCAGGAACUGCGUGAUGAGUGGAGAAUGUGGACGGGCUCUUCAGAUUGCCAACGUCUGUGCUAUGUGUGGAAUGUGCAUCCGCAUGUUUGUCUAGCUGUGACUCCAUGAGGUCAGACCUGCUCUCAUUCCCAUGGCAGCUGUACAGAGAGCUGUGAACAAUAGGACCGGUAUGACACUCUCCCAUGGGUGGAUCACCUGGGAUCCAGCCAUCUUACAAGACACACACCCUGGACCCGCCCUGUGCCUUACAGCCAAUGGAAUCAGCACCCUGGACCCGCCCUGUGCCUUACAGCCAAUGGAAUCAGCACCCUGGACCCGCCCUGUGCCUUACAGCCAAUGGAAUCAGCACCCUGGACCCGCCCUGUGCCUUACAGCCAAUGGAAUCAGCACCCUGGAGCCAAGCAGGAAGGCAUGUGAAACAUAUCCUGUAAUUCAUGUCCUUGUGCAAUAAUACUUAUUUUCCUUUUCUGUUGUAAAACAUCUUGAAACAGUGUGCCCUAAUGAACAUGACCCUGUCCUGCUGCUGUUUAUGCAGAGCUCCAGCUGGGGAGGGAAGAGGCAGUAGGCUGGGCCCAGCAGGCAGUAUGUAUGCACAAACACGAACACAUUGUUCAUGCCACCAAGUGGCCUUUUGAGAACUGGAAGAUCACGCAGGGAGUAGGUGGAAACAUAUUCAUACCGGCGAAGAGACUGUACCACCGGGAACACUCGGCUGUGAGGGGAAAUGAUGUUUGUUGUGGAGAGAGGAGGGGGACCGAUACGGGGGGCAGAGAGAGAGAUGAGAGCGGAGCGAGAGACAACAUACUCUUUCAUGCCAAAUUCUCAAUAAAACGGUGCUUACAGGAUGACACCAGAAUGUACCAGGUAUAUAAUCUGAUCAUCCUUAUCAUAACAUAGUGGUUUGGAUAGAAAAGGGAUCAGAGCAUGUGUCCCAGAUGGCACCCUAUUCCCUUCAUAGUGAAGUGGCCCCCUAUUCCCUUCAUAGUGCACUACUUCUGAUAAGAGGAGGAAACUACUAGACUAACUGAGCAUGCUGAAACCAACCUUUAUGACAAACCAGUCACAGUGGUAGGAUGUCUGUGUCCUCAGAAAAUCAUUCCAUCUCUGAGUGUCCCAGAUGGAACCCUAUUCCCUUCAUAGUGCACUACUCCUGAUAAGAGGAGGAAACUACUAGAUGAACUGAGCAUGCUGAAACCAACCUUUAUGACAAACCAGUCACAGUGGUAGGAUGUCUGUGUCCUCAGAAAAUCAUUCCAUCUCUCUGAGUGUCCCAGAUGGAACCCUAUUCCCUUCAUAGUGCACUAUUUCUGACCAGGAGGCAUAGGGUCCAAGGCAGGUUGUGAGGAUGGACUAUACAGCCUCUCUCUCUCUCUCCUGUAUAUACAGUAUGUCUCGCUCUCUCUUCAUCGUUCUCCUUAAGUGUCUAAAAAACAAGUGCGUUGAGUCCGAUACAGAACUGUGUCAUUCAUAGACUGGACUACCGUACCAUGUUGGCCUCACUGCCGAGGUGAACCUUCCCUCUUCCAAACGUCAUCUUUUAUCUGUAAAAAGUAUUUUUCAGCAAUGUUCUUAUGCUCCUUGACAGUCCAAUACGUAAGAAAAGAGAUGUGCUUUUUUGUAUGAUUCAUUUGUUAUUUUGUAGGGUGUUUUUAUUCAGUGUUUCUGGGGUGAGUUGUUUUCAUGUCUAUUGGGAUUAUCAUUUAUUGUGCUCAGAAAAUAUUUUUAUACUGUAGGUGUCGUAGCUGGGGAAGAAACUAUCGGUACGGUUCAGUCUGCGUCCCCAAUGGCUCCCUAUGCAGUGCACUACUGUAGACCAGAGCCCUGGGCGUCCUGGCCAAAAGUUGUACACUAUAUAGAUAGUCAGAUGCAAUUUGGGACGCAGUACUUUGUUGUAGUGAUGACUACACACCACUUCUAUGUUCACGUUGUGUAAUGUAUUACUUAAUAAAGAACUACCAAGUGUA